CUGAGCAUCAGGCUGGGGACAAUGUCCUGGUGUGUCCCCAAGGUCACCUGAACACAGGGUUGGGGACAACGUCCUGGUGUGUCCCCUUUCCUAAGCAUCAGCCUGGGGACAAUGUCCUGGUGUGUCCCCAAAGGGGGAUUCUUCUCCCAAUCUCUGGGUUGGGGACAUCAUCCCAGUGUUGUCCCCAUGGGUGGGGACCUCUUCCGAGCGCUGGGUUGGGGACAUCGUCCCAGUGUGUCCCCUUUCUUGAGCAUCAGGCUGGGGACAAUGUCCUGGUGUGUCCCCAUGGGGGGGGAUUCUUCUCCCAAUCUCUGGGUUGGGGACAUCGUCCUGGUGUGUCCCCUUUCCUGAGCAUCAGCCUGGGGACAAUGUCCUGGUGUGUCCCCAAGGGGGGUUUCCUCACCUAAACAGUAGGUUGGGGACAUCAUCCUGGUGUGUCCCCUUUCCGGACCGUCAGGCUGGGGACAAUGUCCUGGUGUGUCCCCAAGGGGGGUUUCCUCACCUAAACAGUAGGUUGGGGACAUCAUCCUGGUGUGUCCCCUUUCCGGACCGUCAGGCUGGGGACAAUGUCCUGGUGUGUCCCCAAGGUCACCUAACACUGGGCUGGGGACAACGUCCUGGUGUGUCCCCAGGGGUGGAUCCCUCUCCCAAGCACAGGGUUGGGGACAUUGUCCCACCGUGUCCCCUUUCCUGAGCGUCAGGCUGGGGACAACGUCCUGGUUUGUCCCCAAGGUCACCUGAACACUGGGUUGGGGACAACGUCCUGGUGUGUCCCCGUGCGGUGUGAUUCUUCUCCCAAUCUCUGGGUUGGGGACAUUGUCCUGGUGUUGUCCCCACGAGUGGAUCCCUCUCCCGAG